AAGUGCUUCUGGACCAGUGUUGUUUACAUCUUGUGAAAUGGUCUAUAUAGAUAUCUAUGGGUAAGAUGGCUUCUAAAACCAUUCCAGCAGCUGAUUGGUGGUUCAACGGCUGAUUGGAUCUUGGAGCUCCUCCUACUCGUCAGUGGCUGCAGCUGGCUGGGCUCUUUAAAAAGCCUAGUUUUGGAUCUGUUCACUCUCUGCUCCUGCAGUUGGUGUCUUUGUGGCCCUUUGUAGGGAACUUUCCCUGAUAGCAAACUGACAUUGAAUUAAUGUUGAUCUGGCAUUGUUUCGCUUAUCGAAUUAAAGUUGAGCCAACGUCAGACGUGCCAUUCUUCUGAUCUGGAUCUGAAAACAAGACGACUGCACUUUCACCGCUGCUUUUGUUUCCAGGUCGGUCAUAGUCAUUAGACGUGUGUGGCUCUUUUUGUCUUGGUUUAUUGCAUGUUAAAUGAAGUUCUCUACAGGCUUCUCGGGUAGAUGGAGAUUCGGUGCAGAAGCUGAAGGUUGAAGGUCUUCAGAGCGACUGAAGAGCUAAAUCAUGUUCAGACGUUACCUAUUUCCAAUCCAGGACAAACGGGUGAGCUGUGAAUGAUCUUGGUUGAAGCAUCAUUUUCAAAUGCAUUAUCCAAUGUAUGUGAGUUUGUUUGUCUUUGCAGUUCAUUUCAGAGUUGUCUCCAUGAAACCCAACUUUGUGCCUUUUGAUCAAAUGAUGAAUGCCAUGGGCUGUGCCUCUCUUACUGUUGAUGCGUCAGUGUUUUUCAACCCCAACGUUGAAGAGCAAAUGCAAGACACAUUUCUUGUGAAUGAUACUGAGGAGAGAACAGGUGAGCUAUUGGCUGAUCUGAACCAUAUACUCUUUAUGAUCUUUAGAAGACAUUCACUUUAAGCCACAAAGUUGAUGUUCUCUACUGUUUGGAUUUUCUCUCGCAGAUGUAAUGUGUCAAAAUCUGCAACGGUGUCCAUUAUGUGUCUAGUUGGCAAAGUCACAUUUGUGGACCUCUUGGUUCAAUGCUUAAUGGAAAGAUCUACGUGACUCGACAAAGCUGUAUAUCUCUUGGAGGGGAGCAACUGGCCCAACAAACUGCUUUCGAAUCAUCCACAAACAAGAAUGGAUGGGCUGCGUUCUCCCUAAACACUGUUAAUCUUAAGGCUGAUCUGAAUCUGGUAUGUUGAUGAUGGAUAAAUUAUAUAUUUGGGAAAAUAAAGUAAAAAAAAAAAAAAAAAAAGGAAAAUAAUAAAGUAGUGUUUAAAGUCUAGUGUCUUUUUUUGUGUGUAAUGGUCUUUUUUUGUGUGUUUUAAUGGUCUAGUUACUGAAUGUGGUGUUUGAGGUUUUUUCAUAUAAAGGGUUUUUUCUUUAGGUUUUUUUGAGAUUUUUUAUUGAGAAGAGAAGUUGCUCAUAAAAACCUGGAAAGAGAAG